GUGCUCACUUUGGCAGUACAUAGACUAAAAUUAGAAUGAUACAGAGAAGAUUAGCACAGCCCCUGCUCAAGGAUGGCAUGUAAAUUUGUGAAGCGUUCCAUAUUUAG
rnacentral:snRNA from 3 species